rnacentral:ncRNA from 2 species
CACUGCGUCCCGUUCCGAGGUGCCCUGACAAUGAUCUCCAGGGUUAAACGGGAAAUCAGGUGAACCGGCCCGGAUUCGCGGCAGUAUGCGCCGCAAGUCCGGAUUCGACAGUCCUGUGCUGCCCCCGCAACGGUAGGCGAGUGUGGGCGCGUCAUCCACGGGUCCUUUUAUAAGAUCCCGAGCCACUGUGGCGAGAAAGCAUGUUAGCGCUUACUCGCGAUGGGAAGGCGACGCGUCAAGACUUGCGAGCCCGGAUACCGGCCCUGUGAACAGCGACGGA